GGGGCUAUAGUUUAGCGGUAAAACGGCGCUAUGGCAUAGCGUAGUUGGGAGUUCGACUCUCCCUAGCUCCACCA
rnacentral:tRNA from 1 species